CUUUCCAUUAUUUGAACGGAUUCGUUUCCGUUUCCAUAGCACGUUUUUAGUAAACAAACUGUUUGCUUAUUAGAAUAACGUACGUGCUUAAUGUGAGUGCAAUAUUUUGUUUUCAAUAAUGCCUAUGUCAGAACAAUUAAGGAAAAUGGUUGCUGAAGGGAAAAUCAAAAAAAAAAGACCCAGGGCAGAAUCAUGGACUGCAGGAAAGAGAUGGGAUAGAUUAAAAACUGUAAAACAAAAAUUAGAAACCCUUCAUGGAGAAAAUGAGGUGCAAUAUGCUCUGUUUGUGGUGUAUCCAAAUCCCCGAGGAGAUCCUUCCCAUUAUCUGUUCAAGGAAGGGGAAGAUAUUGAAAAGCUAGUUUUUCAACAUUGCAGUCCUAUUAUACGGAUUAAUAUAUUAAGUCUGUAAUUUUAUGUGGAAGUUAAACCCUGAUGUAUGUGUAAUUGUAUGUGUGUCAUUCGGUGGUCGGCGGCUUGGUGGUUGGAAUCAUUAUGAGCGUUAAUAAGUGAAGAAGUGCUUCCGUCCUUCACAUUCGGUGACUGUCAGAUUCAAAUAAACAAGUGACAAGAA